rnacentral:rRNA from 1 species
AGGUGGGAGGCUUUGAAGUGUGGACGCCAGUCUGCAUGGAGCCGACCUUGAAAUACCACCCUUUAAUGUUUGAUGUUCUAACGUGGACCCGUUACCCGGGUUGCGGACAGUGUCUGGUGGGUAGUUUGACUGGGGCGGUCUCCUCCUAAAGAGUAACGGAGGAGCACGAAGGUUGGCUAAUCCUGGUCGGACAUCAGGAGGUUAGUGCAAUGGCAUAAGCCAGCUUGACUGCGAGCGUGACGGCGCGAGCAGGUGCGAAAGCAGGUCAUAGUGAUCCGGUGGUUCUGAAUGGAAGGGCCAUCGCUCAACGGAUAAAAGGUACUCCGGGGAUAACAGGCUGAUACCGCCCAAGAGUUCAUAUCGACGGCGGUGUUUGGCACCUCGAUGUCGGCUCAUCACAUCCUGGGGCUGAAGUAGGUCCCAAGGGUAUGGCUGUUCGCCAUUUAAAGUGGUACGCGAGCUGGGUUUAGAACGUCGUGAGACAGUUCGGUCCCUAUCUGCCGUGGGCGCUGGAGAACUGAGGGGGGCUGCUCCUAGUACGAGAGGACCGGAGUGGACGCAUCACUGGUGUUCGGGUUGUCAUGCCAAUGGCACUGCCCGGUAGCUAAAUGCGGAAGAGAUAAGUGCUGAAAGCAUCUAAGCACGAAACUUGCCCCGAG